GCACCUGUAGUUCAAAGGGUAGAACGUUCGCUUCAAAGUGCGAAUAUCCAGGUUCGAAUCCUGGCUGGUGCG
rfam:Bombyx mori DNA, contig: Bm_scaf8_contig6877, strain: p50T/Dazao, build 2, whole genome shotgun sequence.